ensembl:lncRNA
CAACAUUUAAACUUGUGAUUUUCUCACUAGCUGCUGCUUUUACAGCAAAUUAAUCAACAAAUUAAUCAACUCAUUCCCACUGUUCCCAGGAUAGGCUUCGGAUCCACUGCGACCCUGAUCAGGAUAAAGCAGUUGCACACAAAAAAUCUGCCAGACAACAGAGAAAAGUCAAAAAAACAGCAGGCCUGACAAUGAAAAAGAGAGGUGUGCUGUUAAUGAUGCCCCUGCCGGGAUGAGGGAGGCCUCGCCGCAUUUUGUCUCCUGAUUAGGAUGCAGCGACGGCUUUUGUCACCAGCUCUGUCAGCCUCUGCAGGGACAAAGCAUUGUUACUGGAGCAUAAUUAGAUCUGCUUCCUCCUGAAGCUGCCACCUGCACUGACCGAGCAGUCAGGGACCAUCUCCCCCCUUUACUGAUGAAAACACUUGUUUCUCAAUAUGAACUAGGAUAAAUUGGAACAUGGUGAUGAGAAAAUUCAUAAUAUUGAUGUAUUUUUAAUGAUCCUGCGACCCAACAAAGACACAGACAUAGACGCUUGAUCACUGGUUUUCAAGCACUAUAGAUUGGAGUGGGUGACAUAUUGCUCAUUUUAUGGCAUCCAACUCUGCGAUAAUUACACAGGAGCGAACCCUUCAACUCAGACUUCAUUUCACAUUUCAGAUGACAGUAGUG